rnacentral:precursor_RNA from 1 species
UUAAAAAGGAAUUAGUAAAGAAAAAAAGAAAUAAAAAAAAUUAAUUUUUUUGAAUUAUUAAAAAAAAAAAAAAAAAAAAAAUUUGGCUUUAAAAAAAAAAAAAAAAAUUUUUUGGCUAAUUUUUUUUUUUAAUUUUUAGAAAAUAGACAAAUUAUUUAAAAUUUAAAGUAAUAGUUUUUAAUAAUAAUAAUAAUAAAAAAGAAUUAACAUAUAAUAAUAAAUCAAAAAUGAAUUUAAAUAUAUAUUUAUUAAUAUUAUAAUAUAAUAAAUAUGUUUAAUAUAAAUAUGAUAAUUCUUUUUAAUUAUUAUUAUUAUUAGAAAAAAUUAUAUGACGAAGAAAAAAUAAUUCUAAUAAUUUACAAAAUUCCUUAUACUUUUUAAUAAUAAUAAAAAAGGAAAUAUAUAUUAAUUUUUAUAAACUUAUUGAUAAUAAUUUCUUAUGUCAAAUUGGUAUAUGCAAAAAUUAAUAUGUUUUUUCUAAUGUUCCAAUUUUAAAUAAAAAAAAGGACUUAUAAAUUAUUCUUCAUUAUUUCAAUAUAAUAAAAAUACUUUAAAAUUUAUAUCAAAUAAGCAAUAAAUAAAAAUAAUAUUCUUUUAUAUUAUAAAAAUAAUUUUAAUUAAUAGACCAUUUUAUUAAAAUUUUUGCUUCAUAUGAGGUGAAAGUUUUAUAUUAAAUAAAAAAAAAAAUACAUUAAUAAAUAAAAAAUUAAAGUAUUUUUUUUAAUGUAAAUCUGUUAAUUUAUAUCCUAUAUAUUUAUAACUUGAUUAUAAAACAAAGCAUCAUAAUAAUUAUAAAAUAUUUUUUAUAUAAAUAAAAAUUAUAUUAUAAUAUAUUAGGUGUUCUAUGUCUUUUCAUAGAAUUAUAUAUUUUAAAAAAAAAAAUAAUUCUGUGUCUAAAGAUAAUAACAUUAAUAAAACAUCAAAUGUGAUUUAAAUGAGAAAUAACAAAUAAUAUAUAUAUCAUAUAUUUUAUUUGUUUAUUUUUAAGUUUAAAAACAUUUUAACAAUAUUUAUAUUAUUUAUAUAUUCAUAAAAUAUAUUAUAUAUAAAAUACAUUUAAAACAAAUUAAAUUAAUUUUAUUUUGUUAUUUAUGUAUAAUAUAUAUAUCUAAAUUUUUUUAUGAAUAAGAAAUAAUAUAUAUAGU